rnacentral:rRNA from 1 species
ACACACACACACACCGUGAACCGUUUCCCCACGUCUCUCGGGACGGGGGAUUACCACCUUAAACAUUGUAUACCAGAACGUCAAUUUGAUAAAAACAAACAAAACUUUCAACAACGGAUCUCUUGGCUCUCGCAUCGAUGAAGAACGCAGCGAAAUGCGAUAAGUAAUGUGAAUUGCAGAAUUCAGUGAAUCAUCGAAUCUUUGAACGCACCUUGCGCCCCUUGGUACUCCGAGGGGCAUGCCUGUUUGAGUGUCUUAUAACUAUCAAUCCCCCCUGGGCUUCGGACCGGUGUGGUGGACUUGGAUUUGGGUGCUGCCGGGCGACCGGCUCGCCUUAAAGACCUUAGUCGAGAGGGUUCCUCUGAUCUGACGUGAUUAGUUUCGUCGUGAUCUUGGUUCCUUGCCGGCUUACAACCCGCCCUCGGGCAUUAUUUUGUCAUGGACCUCAAAUCAGGUAGGACUACCCGCUGAACUUAAGCAUAUCAAUAAGCGGAGGAA